AGCAGCCGCGGUAAUUCCAGCUCCAAUAGCGUAUAUUAAAGUUGUUGCAGUUAAAAAGCUCGUAGUUGAAUUUCGGGAUCAAUGUUUCGGUCAUGCCCUUGGUAUGUACUGAUAUUAUUGGUUUCUCACCUUCUAAAGAACCGUAAUGCCAUUGUUUUGGUGUCACGGGGAAUUAGGACUGUUACCUUGAAAAAAUUAGAGUGUUUAAAGCAGGCUCACGCUUGAAUACAUUAGCAUGGAAUAAUGAAAUAGGACAUCCGAUUCUAUUUUGUUGGUUUCUAGGAUCGAUGUAAUGAUUAAUAGGGAUAGUUGGGGGCAUUAGUAUUCAAUUGUCAGAGGUGAAAUUCUUGGAUUUAUUGAAGACUAACUACUGCGAAAGCAUUUGCCAAGGAUGUUUUCAUUAAUCAAGAACGAAAGUUAGGGGAUCGAAGACGAUCAGAUACCGUCGUAGUCUUAACCAUAAACUAUGCCGACUAGGGAUCGGAUGAUGUUAAUUUUUUAAUGACUCA
rnacentral:rRNA from 1 species